rnacentral:rRNA from 1 species
GAUGAACGCUAGCUACAGGCUUAACACAUGCAAGUCGAGGGGUAACGAGAGGAAAGCUUGCUUUCCUUGUCGACGACCGGCGCACGGAUGAGUAACGCGUAUCCAACCUGCCCCCAACUAGGGAAUAACCUUGCGAAAUUAAGACUAAUACCCUAUAAUUUCCUCAGAUGUCAUCUGACGAGGAAUAAAGAUUUAUCGGUUGUGGAUGGGGAUGCGUCUGAUUAGCUUGUUGGCGGGGUAACGGCCCACCAAGGCAACGAUCAGUAGGGGUUCUGAGAGGAAGGUCCCCCACAUUGGAACUGAGACACGGUCCAAACUCCUACGGGAGGCAGCAGUGAGGAAUAUUGGUCAAUGGGCGGAAGCCUGAACCAGCCAAGUAGCGUGCAGGAUGACGGCCCUAUGGGUUGUAAACUGCUUUUAUACAGGAAUAAAGUUAGCCACGUGUGGUUAUUUGUAGGUACUGUAUGAAUAAGGACCGGCUAAUUCCGUGCCAGCCGCCGCGGUAA